ACGGAGGGGGCUAGCGUUGUUCGGAAUUACUGGGCGUAAAGCGCACGUAGGCGGCUUUGUAAGUUAGAGGUGAAAGCCCAGGGCUUAACCCUGGAAUUGCCUUUAAGACUGCAUCGCUAGAAUCGUGGAGAGGUGAGUGGAAUUCCGAGUGUAGAGGUGAAAUUCGUAGAUAUUCGGAAGAACACCGGUGGCGAAGGCGGCUCACUGGCUCGUUUCUGACGCUCAGGCACGACAGCGUGGGGAUCGAACAGGA
rnacentral:rRNA from 1 species